GAAGCCCCAGUAAACGGCGGCCGUAACUAUAACGGUCCUAAGGUAGCGAAAUUCCUUGUCGGGUAAGUUCCGACCUGCACGAAUGGCAUAAUGAUGGCGGCGCUGUCUCCAGCAGAGGCUCAGUGAAAUCGAAAUCGCUGUGAAGAUGCAGUGUACCCGCGGCUAGACGGAAAGACCCCGUGAACCUUUACUGCAGCUUGACACUGAACUUUGACCUUACUUGUGUAGGAUAGGUGGGAGGCUUUGAAGCUGGAACGCUAGUUCCAGUGGAGCCGUCCUUGAAAUACCACCCUGGUAAUGUUGAGGUUCUAACUCUGUCCCGUGAUCCGGGACGAGGACCGUGUCUGGUGGGUAGUUUGACUGGGGCGGUCUCCUCCUAAAGAGUAACGGAGGAGUACGAAGGUGCGCUCAGCGUGGUCGGAAAUCACGCGUAGAGUAUAAAGGCAAAAGCGCGCUUAACUGCGAGACCCACAAGUCGAGCAGGUACGAAAGUAGGUCUUAGUGAUCCGGUGGUUCUGUAUGGAAGGGCCAUCGCUCAACGGAUAAAAGGUACUCUGGGGAUAACAGGCUGAUACCGCCCAAGAGUUCAUAUCGACGGCGGUGUUUGGCACCUCGAUGUCGGCUCAUCUCAUCCUGGGGCUGAAGCAGGUCCCAAGGGUAUGGCUGUUCGCCAUUUAAAGAGGUACGCGAGCUGGGUUUAGAACGUCGUGAGACAGUUCGGUCCCUAUCUACCGUGGGCGCUGGAAAUUUGAGAGGAUCUGCUCCUAGUACGAGAGGACCAGAGUGGACGAACCUCUGGUGUACCGGUUGUGACGCCAGUCGCAUCGCCGGGUAGCUAUGUUCGGAAGGGAUAACCGCUGAAAGCAUCUAAGCGGGAAGCCUACCUCAAGAUAAGAUUUCCCUAGGACUUUAUGUCCUCUAAAGAGCCGUUCGAGACUAGGACGUUGAUAGGUUGGAUGUGGAAGCAUAGUGAUAUGUGAAGCUGACCAAUACUAAUUGCUCGUGAGGCUUGACUA
rnacentral:rRNA from 1 species